CCUACGGGAGGCAGCAGUGAGGAAUAUUGGUCAAUGGACGCAAGUCUGAACCAGCCAUGCCGCGUGCAGGAAGACGGCUCUAUGAGUUGUAAACUGCUUUUGUACGAGGGUAAACGCAGAUACGCGUAUCUGUCUGAAAGUAUCGUACGAAUAAGGAUCGGCUAACUCCGUGCCAGCAGCCGCGGUAAUACGGAGGAUUCAAGCGUUAUCCGGAUUUAUUGGGUUUAAAGGGUGCGUAGGCGGUCGGAUAAGUUAGAGGUGAAAUCCCGAGGCUCAACUUCGGAAUUGCCUCUGAUACUGUUCGGCUUGAGAGUAGUUGCGGUAGUCGGAAUGUAUGGUGUAGCGGUGAAAUGCUUAGAGAUCAUACAGAACACCGAUUGCGAAGGCAGCUUACCAAGCUACUUCUGACGUUGAGGCACGAAAGCGUGGGGAGCAAACAGGAUUAGAUACCCUAGUAGUC
rnacentral:rRNA from 1 species